rnacentral:tRNA from 1 species
GGGUCUUUAGCUCAGUUGGGAGAGCGCCUGCAUGGCAUGCAGGAGAUCGACGGUUCAAGUCUGUUAAGCUAACUCU